GGAGAGUUGUCCGAGUUGGCCGAAGGAGCACGCCUGGAAAGUGUGUAGGCGCCACAAGCGUCUCGAGGGUUUCGAAUCCCUCACUCUCCG
rnacentral:tRNA from 1 species